GGGGUUGUGGCUCAGUGGUAAGAGCGCUCGUCUAGCACAGGUGAGGCCCUGGGUUCAAUCCUCAGCACCACA
rnacentral:tRNA from 1 species